rnacentral:lncRNA from 1 species
CAGGGACUAUGGACGUGGUCAGAAUUUUUGUACAUUUCGUUCCCUGCCUUCUCCCCAGUACCUUUCUACAACAGCUCCUAGUACCCAGAAAAACCAGCCACCAUGUUGUAAGGAUGCUCAAGUAGCACUAUGGAGAUUCACACGUGGCAAAGAGCUGAGGCCUCCCACCAACAGCCACAUGAGGGAGCCAGAGUAGGAGUGGCUCCUCCAGCCCCAGUCGAACCUUCAGAUGUGACAGACUUGGCUGCUGACAGUUUGCAAUCUCAUGAGACCCUGAGCCAGAACCACCCAGCUAAAUCAGUCCUGGACUCCUGAUCAACAGAAAUGACCAAAGAGAGGCGUUUUGAACAUUAAGACGCUUUGCUGCUUCUCACCUGAAACACGUAACAGGAACACCAACCUCUUCAGCCGCGGGAAAUCUUCUUUGACACAAAACUCAAACCGAGUCAACCCAAAGUUCCAAGUUCUUUGCUUUCUCUUCUGUGUGUGUGUUGGUUUGUCCCAAAAGUCAGUUUGCAAGUUGAAACUUCAUGAAAUUACUCGUAGCAGAAAUAAAGUACAUUGUACAAAUCA